rnacentral:rRNA from 1 species
UAGAGGUUUUCGUAGUACCUUGGACUCAGGAUGAACGCUGGCGGCGUGCUUAACACAAUGCAUUCGAACGGACUCAUAUUGAACUAGUGAUUUAUGAGUUAGUGGCGGACGGGUGAGUAACGCGUGGAUACCUGCCGUAUACCGGGGGAGUAACACUUAGAAAUAGGUGCUAAUACCGCAUAAGCGCACGGCUCCGCAUGGGGCAGUGUGAAAAACUCCGGUGGUAUACGAUUGGAUCCGCGUCUGAUUAGCUAGUUGCGGGGUAACGGCCCACCAAGGCAGCGAUCAGUAGCCGGCCUGAGAGGGUGGACGGCCACAUUGGGACUGAGACACGGCCCGAACUCCUACGGGAGGCAGCAGUGGGGAAUAUUGCACAAUGGGGGAAACCCUGAUGCAGCGACGCCGCGUGAGUGAAGAAGUAUCUCGGUACGUAAAGCUCUAUCAGCAGGGAAGAAAAUGACGGUACCUGACUAAGAAGCCCCGGCUAACUACGUG